GGACUUUGAAACUGGCUCCCGAGGAACACUAGCUACAGGCUUAACACAUACAAGUCGCGGGGCAGCAUGUCGGUUGCUUGCAACCGAUGAUGGCGACCGGCGCACGGGUGAGUAACGCGUAUCCAACCUGCCCUUCACCACGGAAUAAUCCAGUGAAAAUUGGUCUAAUACCGUAUGAGGUCAUACAAUGGCAUCAGAAUAUGACGAAAGGUUUAGCGGUGAAGGAUGGGGAUGCGUCUGAUUAGCUUGUUGGUGAGGUAACGGCUCACCAAGGCGACGAUCAGUAGGGGUUCUGAGAGGAAGGUCCCCCACAUUGGAACUGAGACACGGUCCAAACUCCUACGGGAGGCAGCAGUGAGGAAUAUUGGUCAAUGGGCGAGAGCCUGAACCAGCCAAGUAGCGUGCAGGAAGACGGCCCUAUGGGUUGUAAACUGCUUUUAUAUGGGGAUAAAGUGAGUUACGUGUAGCUUAUUGCAGGUACCAUAUGAAUAAGGACCGGCUAAUUCCGUGCCAGCAGCCGCGGUAAUACGGAAGGUCCAGGCGUUAUCCGGAUUUAUUGGGUUUAAAGGGAGCGUAGGCCGCCCCUUAAGCGUGUUGUGAAAUGCCGCGGCUCAACCGUGGCACUGCAGCGCGAACUGGGGGGCUUGAGUGCACGCAACGCAGGCGGAAUUCGUGGUGUAGCGGUGAAAUGCUUAGAUAUCACGAAGAACUCCGAUUGCGAAGGCAGCUUGCGGGAGUGCGACUGACGCUGAAGCUCGAAGGUGCGGGUAUCGAACAGGAUUAGAUACCCUGGUAGUCCGCACAGUAAACGAUGGAUGCCCGCUGUGUGCCCUAGUGGUACGCGGCCAAGCGAAAGCGUUAAGCAUCCCACCU
rnacentral:rRNA from 1 species